UACGAAGGGGGCUAGCGUUGUUCGGAAUUACUGGGCGUAAAGCGUGCGCAGGCGGCUUCUCAAGUCAGGGGUGAAAGCCCAGAGCUCAACUCUGGAAUUGCCUUUGAGACUGAGUGGCUUGAGUACGAGAGAGGUGAGUGGAAUUCCCAGUGUAGAGGUGAAAUUCGUAGAUAUUGGGGAAGGAACACCGGUGGCGAAGGCGGCUCACUGGCUCAUAUCUGACGCUCAGGCGCGACAGCGUGGGGAUCAAACAGG
rnacentral:rRNA from 1 species